rnacentral:lncRNA from 1 species
UAUAGCAGCAUGAUUUAUAAUCCUUUGAGUAUAUACCCAGUAAUGGGAUGGCUGGGUCAAAUGGUAUUUCUAGUUCUAGAUCCCUGAGGAAUCGCCACACUGUCUUCCACAAUGGUUGAACUAGUUUACAGUCCCACCAGCAGUAUAAAAGUGUUCCUGUUUCUCCACGUCCUCUCCAGCACCUGAUCUUUGACAAACCUGACAAAAACAAGAAAUGGGGAAAGGAUUUCCUAUUUAACAAAUGGUGCUGGGAAAACUGGCUAGCCAUAUGUAGAAAGCUGAAACUGGAUCCCUUCCUUACACCUUAUACAACAAUUAAUUCAAGAUGGAUUAAAGACUUAAAUAUUAGACCUAAAACCAUAAAAACCCUAGAAGAAAACCUAGGCAAUACCAUUUAGGACAUAGGCAUGGGCAAGGACUUCAUGUCUAAAAACACCAAAAGCAAUGGCAACAAAAGCCAAAAUUGACAAAUGGGAUCUCAUUAAACUAAAGAGCUUCUGCACAGCAAAAGAAACUACCAUCAGAGUGAACAGGCAACCUACAGAAUGGGAGAAAAUUUUUGCAAUCUACUCAUCUGGCAAAGGGCUAAUAUCCAGAAUCUACAAAGAACUCAAACAAAUUUACAAGAAGAAAACAACCCCAUCAACAAAUGGGCGAAGGAUAUGAACAGACACUUCUUAAAAGAAGACAUUUUUGCAGCCAACAGACACAUGAAAAAAUGCUCAUCAUCACUUGCCAUCAGAGAAAUGCAAAUCGAAACCACAAUGAGAUACCAUCUGACACCAGUUAGAAUGGUGAUCAUUAAAAAGUCAGGAAACAACAGGUGCAGAAGGCAUUUCUAACAGGUUGACUGUGGUGCAGGAACAUAGGGGAAGAAUGUAAUGAGUUGCUAGUGUGGGAACCUCGCAGAGGUAUCCCUGUGGCACAGUGCCCUCUGGUGUUAGGAAGGUGUUCUUUCACUAUGUGUUUAGAGCUAAGCAAAGAUCACGGGAGCGUCCAACACAUCUCAGACCUAAAGCACAAAACACUGUUAUACAACUUUUGUGUAUUUGCCAACAAAAAAAAACUUCUGAUUUACUCCCAGUGUUAUAAUUUAUGCCCACUGUAUUAACCCGUUCUCUGCUAUGAAGAAAUACCUGAGACUGGGUAAUUUAUAAAGGAAAGAAGUUGAAUUGACUCACAGUUCUGCAUGGCUGGGGAAGCAUUAGGAAAUUUCCAAUCAUGGCAGAAGGUACCUCUUCACAGAGCAGCAGGAGAGAAAAUGAGUGCCAGCAGGGGAAAUGUCAGACACUUAUAAAACCAUCCGAUCUCAUGAGACUCACUCGUUAUCAGGAGAACAGCAUGGGGGAAACUGCCCCGUGAUGCAAUUACCUACACCUGGUCCCACCCUUGACACAUGGGGAUUAUGGUGAUUACAAUUCAAGAUGAGAUUUUGGGUGGGGACACAGCCAAACCAUAUCACCAACUACCCUACAUGCUUUAAAAAUUUUUUACAUUAUUUUAUUUUUUUUAUUUUAUUUUAUUUUUUAGAGACAAGGUCUUGCUUUGUUGCCCAGCUAGUCUCAAACUCCUGGCCUCAAAUGAUCCUCUCACCUUGGCCUCUCAUGCUGGGAUUAUAGGUGUGAACCACCACACUGGCCUCCUACAUACUUUUUAGGAAAGUGGCUGUCAAUAGCUCUGCCUUGAGAAGUGAAGCAAAAUUAUGUGAUAUGCUACAAAUAAUGUUACAAAUAAUAGAAGUUUGUACAUAACCAUCUCUCUAUGGGUUUGGGGCAAAAGAGUCUUCUUCAUUAUCAAUCCUUAAUUACUCAUUUGAAUAAUUUUUGCUUCUGGUUCCUACAACCUUGGGCUGGAUGAUUUUGAAGAAACUAAUCCCUGAGGGAAGAAUGCUUCUAUCAGGGGCAUAGUCAUGGUUCUGAUCAACUGGCCUAAGAGUACACCCUAUGUGGGGCUUCACGUACUGCUACACUCACAGGCAGAAUUGGGAUUGUUUUUCUGGCCAGAGUGAUUGAUCCUGAUUACAAGAGGACAAAUGGGUUUCUUCUACAUAAAGGAGAGUUUUGUCAAGAACCCAGGAGAUUCGUUGAGACAUUUUUUAGUACUUCCUUGUCUAAUAUUCUGCUGUUGGAAAACUCUGGGAACCCAACAAAGACAAGGAAGGAAGGAAGGUUUGGGCUAUCCUUCUAGGUAAAGAACCCAGUCUAGCGAGGUCCUGACAAAGGCUAAGGGUAACUUGAAUAGGUGCUAGAAGAACAGAGUUAUACAAUAUUAGCUACAUAAUUUGCAGAACCCAAUGCAAAAUAAAAAUGUAGGGCUCCUUGUUAAUUUCAAUCUAUUUAAUAGGCACAGUGGAGCAGCAACUAAGUGUAGAGCGCGCUUCUAAGUAUUGAGUCCUGUGUGACUCCCCAGGUUGUGCAUCCAUGGAGCUGGUGCUAGUGCUAUGAUUGCUAAAUUAGCCCUCAUGACCAGAAAGAAGUAUGGCCUGUAGAAGUUAUGUUUUUUGUUACUUUUUUUUCCACUCCCCCAACUUUUCCUUAUAUAUGUAUCAUAUAUAAAGAAUACUAGGAGUGGCUAACUUUUUACUUCUCGUGAGGGAAUAUGAUUGAAUCAAGAUCACUCCAUGAUGAUACACAUUCUGAAGGGACUUCAUGUGUCCCUUGUGUUGGAGGCACACACUUUUCAUGUGGAUGAAAAGCUAUAGAGGAUGUUGAAGGGGAAAAGGUGUGGCCUGUACCAAUGGACUGCUGGGCCAUUGGCCUCCAGUUGCUUCCAGCCAGUGAGACCCUCAGCAGGAGUUGGGAGGGAAGAAAACAAAAUCAGGACAUGUAUACCCCUGGCUCUUCCCAGGAGGAGGUUGCCUUGUGCUGCUGAUGUUUCACAACCAAAGGUCACUGCUGAUCUCAUAGCAAUAACUACAGAACACUUCCCUUCUAGGUUCCAGCAAAUGCUGGCUACCCUCACCCUGCCUGGCCUACAUGUGGUUACAGAUUUCCCACAAUUACUAUUUGUAGGAUCCUGACUCCCUAUACUUCUCAUCUGUUUUAAAUAAACCCUCUUUAAAUUACUCUAACCCGAGUGUGCCCUCUGUUCUCUGUUGGAGCCCCGUGUGAUAUAAUCAUGUUCCUCAGCUAUAAAAUGGUGAUAGAAGUAAUAAACCUGAUUCCAG